UGUUGUUGAUGGCCUGGGGUUUUUCUAUAUACCCCACGUCCCAGCAACUAAGCAAAAGGAAGAUAACAGAACUGUGACGAUCAAAGUGACUGGUGGCACUCUCUCUAUACUGCAGGUGACUUCUGAACAAUCUAGACUUGUGUCUAAUUCUUGGGCUUGGGAAGUUGAGGCAACUGGUGCUAAUGAGUUCAAAGUCCAAUUUCCAUCCCAAGUGGAGUUGGACAGAUUGAUAGAAUGGGGUGUGGUGCAAACUAAAUUUAAUGCUUCUAUGCAAGUGGAGAAAAUAAUUCAUGAUAAGCAUAUUAAGGCAGUCCUACCAAAUGUUUGGGUACAGUUUACAGGCAUUCCAAAGGAAUUGAGAACUUUUAUGAUUAUUUGGGCAGUAGGAUCUAUGCUGGGGAUCACGAAGGCAGUCGAUAUGACUUUUACCAAUAAGUAUGAAAUCUGCAGGUUGCAAUGCAGAGUGCUGGACCCUUACCUCAUUCCUCGUUUUGUUGAUGUGGU
rnacentral:misc_RNA from 1 species